AUUGAACGCUGGCGGCAGGCUUAACACAUGCAAGUCGAACGAGUGGCGGACGGGUGAGUAAUGUAUGGGGAUCUGCCUGAUGUCGGGGGAUAACUACUGGAAACGGUAGCUAAUACCGCAUACCAUCAGAUGAACCCAUAUGGGAUUAGCUUGUAGGUGAGGUAACGGCUCACCUAGGCGACGAUCCCUAGCUGGUCUGAGAGGAUGAUCAGCCACACUGGGACUGAGACACGGCCCAGAAUCCUACGGGAGGCAGCAGUGGGGAAUAUUGCACAAUGGGCGCAAGCCUGAUGCAGCCAUGCCGCGUGUAUGAAGAAGGCCUUCGGGUUGUAAAGUACUUUCAGCGAGGAGGCGUUACUCGCAGAAGAAGCACCGGCUAACUCCGUGCCAGCAGCCGCGGUAAUUC
rnacentral:rRNA from 1 species